GGCGGCAUGCUUAACACAUGCAAGUCGCACGAACGGUUUCGGCCGUUAGUGGCGGACGGGUGAGUAUCGCGUAGGAAUCUAUCCAUGGGUGGGGGACAACUCCGGGAAACUGGAGCUAAUACCGCAUGAUGCCUGAGGGCCAAAGGUUGCAAGACCGCCUGUGGAGGAGCCUGCGUUCGAUUAGCUUGUUGGUGGGGUAAUGGCCUACCAAGGCGAUGAUCGAUAGCUGGUCUGAGAGGAUGAUCAGCCACACUGGGACUGAGACACGGCCCAGACUCCUACGGGAGGCAGCAGUGGGGAAUAUUGGACAAUGGGCGCAAGCCUGAUCCAGCGAUGCCGCGUGUGUGAAGAAGGUCUUAGGAUUGUAAAGCACUUUCGACGGGGACGAUGAUGACGGUACCCGUAGAAGAAGCCCCGGCUAACUUCGUGCCAGCAGCCGCGGUAACAC
rnacentral:rRNA from 1 species